AGUGAACGCUGGCGGCAGGCCUAAUACAUGCAAGUCGAACGGCAGCACAGCAGAGCUUGCUCUGUGGGUGGCGAGUGGCGGACGGGUGAGGAAUACAUGGGAAUCUGCCCAGUCGUGGGGGAUAACGUAGGGAAACUUACGCUAAUACCGCAUGCGCCCUUCGGGGGAAAGCCGGGGACCUUCGGGCCUGGCGCGAUUGGAUGAGCCCAUGUCGGAUUAGCUAGUUGGCGGGGUAAAGGCCCACCAAGGCGACGAUCCGUAGCUGGUCUGAGGGGAUGAUCAGCCACACUGGAACUGAGACACGGUCCAGACUCCUACGGGAGGCAGCAGUAGGGAAUAUUGGACAAUGGGCGCAAGCCUGAUCCAGCCAUGCCGCGUGAGUGAAGAAGGCCCUCGGGUUGUAAAGCUCUUUUGUCCGGAAAGAAAAGCGCCGGGUUAAUACCCUGGUGUCCUGACGGUACCGGAAGAAUAAGCACCGGCUAACUUCGUGCCAGCAGCCGCGGUAAAAC
rnacentral:rRNA from 1 species